GCCACCUUAGCUCAACGGGAGAGCGGUUGCUUUGUAAGCAGCAGGUUCUGGGUUCGAAUCCCAGGGGUGGCU
rnacentral:tRNA from 2 species